GGCGGCGUGCCUAUACAUGCAAGUCGAACGAGUUCUCGUUGAUGAUCGGUGCUUGCACCGAGAUUCAACAUGGAACGAGUGGCGGACGGGUGAGUAACACGUGGGUAACCUGCCCUUAAGUGGGGGAUAACAUUUGGAAACAGAUGCUAAUACCGCAUAGAUCCAAGAACCGCAUGGUUCUUGGCUGAAAGAUGGCGUAAGCUAUCGCUUUUGGAUGGACCCGCGGCGUAUUAGCUAGUUGGUGAGGUAAUGGCUCACCAAGGCGAUGAUACGUAGCCGAACUGAGAGGUUGAUCGGCCACAUUGGGACUGAGACACGGCCCAAACUCCUACGGGAGGCAGCAGUAGGGAAUCUUCCACAAUGGACGCAAGUCUGAUGGAGCAACGCCGCGUGAGUGAAGAAGGCUUUCGGGUCGUAAAACUCUGUUGUUGGAGAAGAAUGGUCGGCAGAGUAACUGUUGUCGGCGUGACGGUAUCCAACCAGAAAGCCACGGCUAACUACGUGCCAGCAGCCGCGGUAAUACGUAGGUGGCAAGCGUUAUCCGGAUUUAUUGGGCGUAAAGCGAGCGCAGGCGGUUUUUUAAGUCUGAUGUGAAAGCCCUCGGCUUARCCGAGGAAGCGCAUCGGAAACUGGGAAACUUGAGUGCAGAAGAGGACAGUGGAACUCCAUGUGUAGCGGUGAAAUGCGUAGAUAUAUGGAAGAACACCAGUGGCGAAGGCGGCUGUCUGGUCUGUAACUGACGCUGAGGCUCGAAAGCAUGGGUAGCGAACAGGAUUAGAUACCCUGGUAGUCCAUGCCGUAAACGAUGAAUGCUAGGUGUUGGAGGGUUUCCGCCCUUCAGUGCCGCAGCUAACGCAUUAAGCAUUCCGCCUGGGGAGUACGACCGCAAGGUUGAAACUCAAAGGAAUUGACGGGGGCCCGCACAAGCGGUGGAGCAUGUGGUUUAAUUCGAAGCAACGCGAAGAACCUUACCAGGUCUUGACAUCUUUUGAUCACCUGAGAGAUCAGGUUUCCCCUUCGGGGGCAAAAUGACAGGUGGUGCAUGGUUGUCGUCAGCUCGUGUCGUGAGAUGUUGGGUUAAGUCCCGCAACGAGCGCAACCCUUAUGACUAGUUGCCAGCAUUUAGUUGGGCACUCUAGUAAGACUGCCGGUGACAAACCGGAGGAAGGUGGGGAUGACGUCAAAUCAUCAUGCCCCUUAUGACCUGGGCUACACACGUGCUACAAUGGAUGGUACAACGAGUUGCGAGACCGCGAGGUCAAGCUAAUCUCUUAAAGCCAUUCUCAGUUCGGACUGUAGGCUGCAACUCGCCUACACGAAGUCGGAAUCGCUAGUAAUCGCGGAUCAGCACGCCGCGGUGAAUACGUUCCCGGGCCUUGUACACACCGCCCGUCACACCAUGAGAGUUUGUAACACCCGAAGCCGGUGGCGUAACCCUUUUAGGGAGCGAGCCGUCUAAGGUGAG
rnacentral:rRNA from 2 species